UAGAAAGUGGUGUAGAGGGAGCACGAGGGGUUUUGAUCUCCUAGGGAAGAGUUCAAAUCUCUUCUUUCUAA
rnacentral:tRNA from 1 species